GAGGCUCUUUCCGGUCGACGUUUUUUUUUCUGGUGAAGGUGGCGUGGCCGCGUGGUGGUUUGCUGGCCGCAGGAGGGAUGCAUUCCCAUCGUCCUAGCACCCAUGCUCCGCCGUGGGCCGUGGCCGACGUAUUUCUCGGGGCGGCGAGGUGGCGAGAUCCUCCUCAUCGGCUCCUUGCUCUCCUGCGAGACCGCCACAGCUCAUCGUAGUUGCCGCUGCGCCCAGGUCAUCUCCCCCGCAGCCAGCGCUGCCGGAUUGAUGGCCGAGUCAAGGCAGUUCCAUCAUCUGAUCUUCCUCGUGGUGCUAUGACCACAAUCAGCACACCACGUACAGCCUCACCGGAGAGACGACACUACCAUCAGAACUAGGAGUAGUAAGAGGAGCCCCCCUUGCUACAUGGAGAACAACAGUUGAAGAAGAACAUCUUAAAAUCCUCACAAGCUUCAGGGUCUUCUGCUCAUCUCUUUGUAGGUAGGUUGCAAAUAGGAUCUAUAAUCUUUGUCCACAAUUUUCAGAUGAUUUUACCUACCUCCAGUUUCAUUAUGGUUACAUUAUGGGUCACACUGUGACUGCAGCCGCCAUUGCAAGUUUGACUUGAAUUUUGGCUUCUGUAGGUAUGGACUCGAUUCUCCUCUCCAUAGGUUUCUACCUCUCUGAAUUCCUAUUCCUGUUGCCACAUAAUUACAUCCUUUAUUUUUGGGGCGGAAAUCAAUGUAUAGAUCUAUUGUUUCUCUGUACAAGCACAUGCUAUAUAUUUGUUUUUGGACUAAUUCUUCCAUUGUUUUCUUGCUAAUUUGAAAUUAUCCAACCUUUUAUAUUUUCACUUGCAUAGAUGGCUUAAUCUAGAACCUGGACCGAUGACUAUGUAUAACGCAUGCAUUGGGUCGUUUCUCCUAAGAAGAUUAAACAACCUGAACUUUUAACUUGAGCUCCAAAGAAGUUGUUGAAUGAUCUAGCAUUUUUGGGUUUUUACUAAGCUGAAAAAUGUAGCACUGUGACAAUAAUAUUCUGAACUUAAAUCUUUCAUUUUCUUACCACAUUUUUACAAUUGUGCACUUGGAUGAUGGUGACAUUAUUUCUUAUCUGAAUUCUGCACGCAUGUUUCCAAUUGAAACAGUAACUGAAAUUGAUAAGUAUGCAACAGUUUCUGCCCUGCAGCAUGGCUAAAAUGUUGUGAGUUACUACUUCAGAUAAGUAACCACCGUAUUAUUUUCUGUGUGUAAUUGACAUGUACAGAUGUUGUCCCUCCGCCUGACAACAAUCUAUAGGUAUGCAGGUACUGUCUAAUACCUACACACAAGCUUCUCUCACAGAUUGACUCCUCUGAUUGUGACUCAGCAUGUGUGUGGCCGUGAUGCAGACCUUAUCUUGGCCUGAGCUUCAAUUCCCUUAUGUGAUACGAUUGGCAGCUCUUUUCUUCUAGAUAUAUUGGUUUCUGCAGGUUCCAUUGGAUCUUGCCUUUGAGUGAUACGAUAGCUCAAUGGCAUGCUCACCAGUUGUUGUCCUGUCAAAAUGGCAAACUGGCUCAACUUUAUUUCCUAUGUGUAUUACAGAGUACUAGAUGUGAUUACUUUAUUUCUAGCACUGGCAAUUUUCUAAGCAUUAUGUUUUUUAAGACGCUGAGGUCUCCGAUGAUUAGUUAUGCUUUGUGAGAUUUAUGCGCUUCAUACAACCUAGGUAAUUCUCAUUUGAUCUUCUUAAUUUCUAACUGAAUAUAGAUAUAUACUGACAGUAAGGCCGGUGCAGUAAAUAGUUGGAUAAUUCUUUGACAUGUCGUACUCUAACGUUUGUUUAAAUCAGCAUUGGAUACUCCCAUGAUCGAUUACUCUUUGCAUAAUAAAUUAAUACAAUAAGAAGUGUAUUGGUUCUUCAGUGUUUGCAGGCAGAAAAUGAUUUAAAUAUAGACACAGUGAGCUGCAUACUGCAAUAACAGCCAAUUGCCAGACAGGAUUACAUUGAUCAAAGAAAGCACUGUUUGGAUAGAGAAAAGAUCAUGGUCAACAAUUGGUGCUUGAGGAAAUGGGUAUAUAUGGUUAUAAGGUUGCGGGAAGUUGUAUAUGACCGGAGCAAGUUGUAAUUUCUCUUCCAGAAUUAUCUAAGCUAAGAGUUUCAUUUAGCUUCAUAGUUGUGCUUUAUUUCCUGGGACAACACGCCCUUAAUGUACAUGUCAUUGUGUCCUGGAACAUUAAUUCAUAAAAAAUAGCAACUUCAAAUUAAAAUUUUAAUAUCUAAUACAUUGGUGACCCCGCCUUCCAAAAAUUUCUUUGUUGCUGAACUUCUGAUUGUAAACUGCUACAUUAGAUUGUACCGUUGGUCUUUAGGUUUAAUUUUGAUUUCUUGUUGUUUGCCUUCAAAUUGCCACAAAGAGGGAAAUGGCCAAAAUCAGUUAGGGCACUGUGCCGUCACACUUGCACACACUUACAUUAUUGCCAGAACAGAAUCUCUCCCUCAAACCUCUCAGUGAAUCGAUAGCACACCGAUACAAUGACCAGUCUCAUUGUGACUAUAAUGGUAGUGACAUUAUCUCAACAAUGGAGCAAUAUUUCAGCUCAAUACAACUCAUAAUUCAACACACUACUUUCUUCAAAAUAAUCUCUCACCAUUGCAGAGAUGUCUGGGGAGAUCUGGAGAUCGGUAGACACACUGGGUCCUUUGAUUAUCCAGUCCACCUCAAGCAAGCAAUUUUUGUAUGAUCUCAAGGAAUCAUCUUACUGGGCCAGGAUUGCAACCAGCCAUGUGGUUUCUGGUUUAACAUCCUCAUAGCUGAGUCGGAGGGCCCUCACUAACUCUUGCAUCAAUACCUGUGCCAACUCUUCCUUUGUACUUAUAUGUGAUAUAAAAAGUGUUACGUUGGCCGCUUGCAAAGCGCGUGGCCACUUCUAGUUCUUACCAAGUCGAGCAAGAAAAAAUCAAACGGCAGAAGCCAACCACAAAAUUUCACAAUGACGAAAAUUAUUUCGCAUUCAUGACAGAGUAUAUAUAAUGAAAAACACAACACAAAAUCUGAACUAACGACUCACGGUAAAGCAUGCCAUAGAACAUGUCUCGCAAAAUGCAUCCACAGAUAAAACACUCCAGAUAAACAGCUAGCAAAA